GGCACUUCUUCAUGCUGCCUUGCGAAGAAGCUGGCUUGCUUCCUCUUUGUCUUCCGCCAUGAUUGUAGAUUUCCUGAGGCCUCCCAAGCUGUGCUGAACUUAACAAUUUGGACAAGACAGCAAAUGCUAUUGUCCAAGUUUUCUAAAGAAGAAUCUGAAGUGAAAUGACAUCAAGAGACCUAUCAAGACCUGUAUCCAGGAAAAGACCAAACCAAUGCAGACCAAACCAAUGCAGAACUCCUAUGUGCUGAUGGUGGUCUUACAUUUCCCUAAGUUUCUGCCGACUAAACUGUGCACACGUUCUCAGGACCUCCUGAAGCUGCGUCACAGGCACUAAUCAAAGAACACAACCAAGAGUUUGGCCUUUUCUUCAGCACUGGGAAUUGUGAUCCAAAGCUUUUCCUGAUGAAGCACAAAGUUGGAGAAAAAAAACGCAAACUAAACAACAACAAUGAAACAGAACAGAGUGAAUCUGCUGUAGCUCAAGAGAGGACGUAGCUGCCCCCACUCCGCAUCCCCGGGCUCGGGUUUGCCUUGCUGACCUCUGCUGCCACCUGGUGCCGCACAGAGAAACUGAGGAGAAACCACAUCAGUCUCCUUCAGCCUCAGCUUCACAUCUGUGGGUCAAGUAACCCUUUCAGAAGCUGAAUAAUGUGGGAAAGCUUUCCUCUCAGGAAAAUGCACACAUCCAACUUUGAGAAGAUGCCCUUGGGGGCGCUUCAAGGAUUCUAGAUAAUAACCCCCUUUCCCGAACAUCCAAGAACCUAAGAUUUUUUUUUUUUUUUUGAGAAAGUCUCGCUCUCUCUCCCAGUCUGGAGUGCAGUGGCGUGAUCUUGGCUCACUGCCAGCUCCACCUCCCAGGUUCACGCCAUUCUCCUGCUUCAGCCUCCCUAGUAGCUGGGGCUACAGGCACCUGCCACCAAACCCGGCUAAUUUUUUUGUAUUUUUAGUAGAGACGGGGUUUCACCGUGUUAGCCAGGAUCGUCUUGAUCUCCUGACCUUGUGAUCCACCCGCCUCGGCCUCCCAAAUUGCUGGGAUUACAGAUGUGAGCCACCGCACCUGGUCCAAGAGCCCAAGUUUUAGAUCUAGAGUGAUGUCAGCAUGACAUUGAUUUCCUGAGGCCCAGGGGCGAAGGAGCUGAGGACAGCAGAGGGGUGAAGGAACUCAGCUACAGACAGCAGCAGCUGAUGCACAGGCCUCCCAGCGCCUGAAGUCACCCGGAAUUGGGAAGUGCUCAGAAGCUUACAAAGCUGCCUCGAGGAACAGUAAGAGGACCUUGUGCAUGAAUAAUUUGUUUCCACACUGCAGAGUGGGUAAUAAGCAGAUUAGUAAAAACAAUUCUGCUUCACUUCAAUAACAGCCUCCUCCAACUCAUUUUUUCUCAACAAACUUAUUUUUGCAGCAGAAGAAUCCCAGACUUCUUAGAGAACCCAGUGACUUUUUGCACCUUAAAUCUGUGAAAUCCUCAUGCUUUCUUCUGCCGUAUCCAUCGUUCAAACAAACAUGAGGCAAAGCUAGACACAUUCCUGAAGGAACCCAAGAAAUUCCUCUCUUUCUCUCUCUGGAAUGAAAUGAAUUCUCUAGACCACCAGUUCUAACCUUCAAAAACGAAACCUGUUUGUGAGAUCUCCUUCAAAUACUACUGUAGACCCCAGUGUUUAUUCAUUAAAUUUUUUAAACAUUUGUUUUA
rnacentral:lncRNA from 1 species